GGAUGUGAGGGCAAUCUGGCCACAAUAUCUAUCACCCGCAUUGACCACCAGGGCUGAUCUGGCUGGCUAGGCAGUUGUCCCUUCCCCCCUCACUACUCCCCAUGCAUCCCUCCUGAAGCUGUGUGUUCAGUUGAAGAGGACCAUUCUUUGGUCAAGGGUACAGAGUAGCUGAGCUCCCCUGCUAGAACCUCCAAACACGCUCUCAAAAAUCAACUGACCAUAAAUGUAUGGUAUAUUCCUGGCUCAUUUCUACACAUUUUUUCUUCUGCCUGGAAA
rnacentral:snRNA from 1 species